rnacentral:rRNA from 1 species
CAGUAGCCGCGGGAAUACGGAGGGUGCAAGCGUUAAUCGGAAUUACUGGGCGUAAAGCGCACGCAGGCGGUUUGUUAAGUCAGAUGUGAAAUCCCCGAGCUUAACUUGGGAACUGCAUUUGAAACUGGCAAGCUAGAGUCUUGUAGAGGGGGGUAGAAUUCCAGGUGUAGCGGUGAAAUGCGUAGAGAUCUGGAGGAAUACCGGUGGCGAAGGCGGCCCCCUGGACAAAGAUUGACGCUCAGGUGCGAAAGCGUGGGGAGCAAACAGGAUUAGAUACCCCGGUAGUCCCUGUCUCUUAUAC